UACAGAGGGGGCAAGCGUUAUUCGGAAUUAUUGGGCGUAAAGGGCGCGUAGGCGGCCGUGCAAGUGGAAGGUGAAAUCCCUCGGCUCAACCGAGGAACUGCCUUUCAAACUGCUUGGCUUGAGUCCGGGAGAGGGUGAGUGGAAUUCCCAGUGUAGCGGUGAAAUGCGUAGAUAUUGGGAGGAACACCGGUGGCGAAGGCGGCAUCCUGGACCGGCAUUGACGCUGAGGAGCGAAAGCCAGGGGAGCAAACGGG
rnacentral:rRNA from 1 species